rnacentral:rRNA from 1 species
CACGUAGGGGGCGAGCGUUGUCCGGAUUUAUUGGGCGUAAAGAGCUCGUAGGCGGUUCGGCAAGUCGGGUGUGAAAUUUCGAGGCUCAACCUCGAAACGCCACUCGAUACUGCUGUGACUGGAGUCCGGUAGAGGAGUGCGGAAUUCCCGGUGUAGCGGUGAAAUGCGCAGAUAUCGGGAAGAACACCCGUGGCUAAGGCGGCUCUCUAGUACGGUACUGACGCUGAGACGCGAAAGCGUGGGGAGCGAACAGG